AAAACGGUUUUCAUAAAAACCAUCCUAGAAUUUUUAAUAUAUUUUAU
rfam:Glycine soja cultivar W05 scaffold927_20, whole genome shotgun sequence.